rnacentral:rRNA from 1 species
UGGGGAAUAUUGGGCAAUGGGGCGAAAGCCUGACCCAGCGACGCCGCGUGAGGGAAGAAGGUCUUCGGAUUGUAAACCUUAGUCAACAGGGAAGAAGAAAGUGACGGUACCUGUGGAGGAAGCCACGGCUAACUACGUGCCAGCAGCCGCGGUAAUACGUAGGGGGCGAGCGUUGUCCGGAAUUACUGGGCGUAAAGGGUGCGUAGGCGGUUUGGUAAGUUGGAUGUGAAAUACCGGGCUUAACUUGGGGGCUGCAUCCAAUACUGCUGAACUUGAGUGCAGGAGAGGAAAGCGGAAUUCCUAGUGUAGCGGUGAAAUGCGUAGAUAUUAGGAGGAACACCGGUGGCGAAGGCGGCUUUCUGGACUGUAACUGACGCUGAGGCACGAAAGCGUGGGGAGCAAACAGGAUUAGAUACCCUGGUAGU